GCUUUCAGAAGUAAAGUGAUAUUUGUUACAGUUUUUCUCAGUUGCUUUGGUGCAUUUCUCAAAUGAGAAAUGAAAUUCUCAAAACUACUUGUACAAACUCCACAUCAUCUAGUCAUUUAUACACAUCAUAAAACCAGUUUCUCAUUCUUUUGAACAAGUUGCGAUUACUUUUGUACAUUCAUCCAAUUGAUUAUGCACAUUUAUCUGUGGUUUCCUACAUUAUCAGUUGCUAAUGUCAUGUUGCUCAAAAUGUAUUAUAUGGUUCUCUUUGCAAUAGUCUUACACCUCAAAACAUCUAGGCAUUAGUUCCUUGCAUAAGCCAUUACAUGCAAAAUUGUUGAACUAUUUGUCAUAAACUGUCAAGCAUAGUUUUACACAUUUCUAUUAGACCUUUUGUACAAAAACGUGAAUUGAUGAAUCGUGCAGGUGAAAUUGACCCUCACUCAAGGAAUGUAAAGUGUUAGUUCAACCAACAAUCAACCAGUUGUCAAAGGUGCAUCUCAUGAACAAUCAACUGGGAAUCAUAUAUAGACAGACCACAACACAGAGUUGCAAUUUACCAAUAAUGGAUGGACCAGGAAACGAACAGGGUCAACAGCCAAGAGGAGGAAGAAGAGGAGCAAGGAUGCGUGGUGGAAGGCAAAACAGAGGAAGAGGCAGAUGAGGACAUAGGCGCAUAUCUGAUGACAUUAGAGCCACUAUUGUAGACCAUGUUGUCAAUCAUGGCCUUACUAUGGCUGAAGCGGGUCGAAGGGUGCAGCCGAAUAUUGGGAGAUCAACCGUGUCCUCAAUAGUUCAAACGUUUCGAAGAGAGAACAGGACCGCAAGAUUACCUCAAACCGGUGGCAGAGGACGCCUUUGCACACCUCAACAGGAGGAGGCUAUUUGCACCAUGGUCUGAGCAAACAAUGCUAUGAGACUCAGGGAAAUACAAAGGACCAUUAUAGAAGACAACGAUGUCUUUGAAAACAUCCAUACGGUUAGCAUCUCAACCAUCGACAGGGUGCUGCACAGAAACCAGAUGAGUAUGAAACAGCUGUACCGUGUACCAUUCCAAAGGAAUGAGGACAGAGUUAAGGAGCUACGGUACCAGUAUGUACAGCGUAUAAUGGAGUUGGAAUCAAGUGAACCCUCUCACAACUUUGUAUACGUGGAUGAGGCUGGCUACUGUGAGCUACUGUGGAUUUGCCAGGCCAAAGGGGAGGAAAUAUCACCAUGUGUGCUGCUAUUUCAGAGCAUGGCGUCCUAACCCAUGAUCGUCAGCCACACACACACAGAUGACCCUGCUGGCUGCAAUGGAUGCAGCAUGUGAGGACAUCACAGUAGACGCCUGCAGAGGAUGGAUAAGGCCUUCCAAAAGAUUCUUUCCACGUUGCAUUGGAAGGGAAAAUAUCCGGUGUGAUGUGGAUGAGAAUAUGUGGGCCGACAGACAGGAACGUCUGGAUGUGUAGAGACAGCACUAGAACAGUGCUGUGGGCAAAGUUGUGCCUUAGGGGUGUUUCCUGUGUUUCUUUCUAAUUUAGUUUUUAUUUUCCUUUGUGCCCCUUGUCUUUUUCUUACUGUAAAUUAUUUUGUUGUUUUCUUUCAUAAAGUAGCACUAGUAAAAGCUAUGAAAAACAAAAUCUCUUUUGUCUCUUUCAAUCAAUAACCACAUACAGUAAUAUGUAAAUGGUACUGUUGAAAUUGAUAUAUGCCAUAGAAGUGCAGCCUUGUGCAUUUCAAAUACAGUAACUGUCAUCCAAACUGUAGCCUAAGUUUACAUCUGGUAAUACUGUCAAAGUACACAGUUACAUUGACAACAUGCCUAAACAUUUUGACGAGCUUGUUCGUGAACAAUGACUCAAUGACUUAUCAUUCUGAUGGCACUGACAUGAUCGUUGGCAUGAAUAGGAUUUUUAGUGACUGACUAGCUUUAGAAACAUAUCUAUUGUAUAUUGCAGUUUGUACAAAUUGUUCUGAGAAAUGCACUUAUUAUUUUGCACAUAUUAGGG
ensembl:lncRNA